rnacentral:rRNA from 1 species
GAACGAGCAAUGCCGCGUGAGUGAAGAAGGUCUUCGGAUCGUAAAGCUCUGUUGUAAGUGAAGAACGGCUCACAGAGGAAAUGCUAUGGGAGUGACGGUAGCUUACCAGAAAGCCACGGCAUAACUACGUGCCAGCAGCNGCGGUAAUACGUAGGUGGCAAGCGUUAUCCGGAAUCAUUGGGCGUAAAGGGUGCG